rnacentral:miRNA from 1 species
GAGCUAUGAUGACUUUGAUUGCAU